UAGGGAAUCUUCGGCAAUGGGGGGAACCCUGACCGAGCAACGCCGCGUGAGUGAAGAAGGUUUUCGGAUCGUAAAGCUCUGUUGUUAAGGAAGAACGAGUGUGAGAAUGGAAAGUUCAUACUGUGACGGUACUUAACCAGAAAGGGACGGCUAACUACGUGCCAGCAGCCGCGGUAAUACGUAGGUGGCAAGCGUUGUCCGGAUUUAUUGGGCGUAAAGCGAGCGCAGGCGGUCAAUUAAGUCUGAUGUGAAAGCCCCCGGCUCAACCGGGGAGGGUCAUUGGAAACUGGUUGACUUGAGUGCAGAAGAGGAGAGUGGAAUUCCAUGUGUAGCGGUGAAAUGCGUAGAUAUAUAGAGGAACACCAGUGGCGAAGGCGACUCGCUGGUCUGUAACUGACGCUGAGGCUCGAAAGCGUGAGUAGCAAACAGG
rnacentral:rRNA from 1 species